GCAUUGGUAGCUCAGUGGUAGAAUUCUUGCCUUCCAUGCAGGAAACCAGGGUUUAAUUCCUGGCCAAUGGU
rnacentral:tRNA from 1 species